rnacentral:rRNA from 1 species
UACGUAGGGAGCAAGCGUUGUCCGGAAUCAUUGGGCGUAAAGCGCGCGUAGGCGGCCCCGUAAGUCCGCUGUGAAAGUCAAAGGCUCAACCUUUGAAAGCCGGUGGAUACUGUGGGGCUAGAGUACGGAAGAGGCGAGUGGAAUUCCUGGUGUAGCGGUGGAAUGCGCAGAUAUCAGGAGGAACACCGGUGGCGAAGGCGGCUCACUGGACCGGUAUUGACGCUGAGGUGCGAAAGCGUGGGGAGCAAACAGA